rnacentral:snRNA from 1 species
CACUUCUUGCUUCUGGUCAAAAAGUGGAAAAGACUUUCGCCUUUUACUAAAGUCUUCCGUGGCCAGGAGUGCUAAAUGAGUCUGUAGACAUUUUUUUGAAAGUUCUGUUUUCGGAUGGGACA